AUUUUUAUCACUUUAUUGUCAUUUUUAUGUUUGGCAUAAAUUGUUUUAACAGUCUUUGGCAUUUCCUUAUUGCCUACAUUUCUCUUCUCAUUUAAUGGGCCAUGGGUAAUUAGAUGUCAUUUACUUUGCUUCUCUCUCUCUCUCCCUCUUUUGAUAUGGACUGAUCAUUACCAGAGAAACCUUGUGGGUAGGUUAACGGGCUUAAGGUGUGUGAAUGAGUUUGGCAAUACAAAUAAUAGCAAACAUUACUUCAAAGUGGGUACUAAGUUCGCGAUGCAUGGUGAAGAUCAAUAUUUUCACCAUUACUUUCUUUGAACUCUUCAAAAACUACUACCUAGAGCUGAGUAUUCUGUUCAGCUUUGCAGGCGGAAUGUUGUCAAACCCCAUAAAAAACUCGGCGAAACGCUGGCGGAAAAUAGGUGAAAAAGUAGUACUCUGUUUAUAGUGAGGAAAAUGGCAAAAAUAAAUUUUAGCGGCAACGCUUGA